CUGCUCAUGAGACUUAAAUAGCCGCAGUACAUUGACUGUGCAAAGGUAGCGUAAUCAGUUGGCCCAUAAUUGGGGUCUAGUAUGAAUGGGUGCACGGAUAAGCGCUGUCUUCAUCUUAUUACUUAGAAGUUUACAGGUAAGUGAAAAUGCUUACAAUACAUGAAAGACGAGAAGACCCUAGAAAUUUUUUAAAAAAAUGUGUUUAAAGGUUUUUUGUUGGGGCGACAGAACAACAUAUAACUUGUUUUAGUUUAUUAGAAUUUUUUAUUAGGAGAAGAUAAAUUACUCUAGGGAUAACAGCAUAAUUUAAAAGAGUUUGUGACCUCGAUGUUGGACUAGGGAGAGUGCUACUCAAAAGGCGCC
rnacentral:rRNA from 1 species